GUAGUUCAGUUGGUUAGAACGCCUGAUUGUGGUUCAGGAGGUCGCCGGUUCGAGUCCGGUC
rnacentral:tRNA from 2 species